UACGGAGGGUGCAAGCGUUAUCCGGAUUUACUGGGUUUAAAGGGUGCGUAGGCGGGCCAUUAAGUCAGUGGUGAAAGCUCCGAGCUUAACUCGGAACUGCCGUUGAUACUAUAGGUCUUGAAUUCGGUCGAGGUUGGCGGAAUGUGUCGUGUAGCGGUGAAAUGCUUAGAUAUGACACAGAACACCGAUUGCGAAGGCAGCUAGCUAGACCGACAUUGACGCUGAGGCACGAAAGCGUGGGGAUCAAACAGG
rnacentral:rRNA from 1 species